rnacentral:rRNA from 1 species
GACGAACGCUGGCGGCGUGCUUAACACAUGCAAGUCGAACGGAAAGGCCCUGCUUUUGUGGGGUGCUCGAGUUGCGAAGGGGUGAGUAACACGUGAGUAACCUGCCCUUGACUUUGGGAUAACUUCAUGAAACUGGGGCUAAUCCCGGAUAGGAGCUCCUGCUGCAUGGUGGGGGUUGGAAAGUUUCGGCGGUUGGGGAUGGACUCGCGGCUUAUCAGCUUGUUGGUGGGGUAGUGGCUUACCAAGGCUUUGAGAGGUAGCCGGCCUGAGAGGGUGACCGGCCACAUUGGGACUGAGAUACGGCACAGACUCCUACGGGAGGCAGCAGUGGGGAAUAUUGCACAAUGGGCGGAAGCCUGAUGCAGCAACGCCGCGUGCGGGAUGACAGCCUUCGGGUUGUAAUCCGCUUUCGCCUGUGACGAAGCGUGAGUGACGGUAAUGGGUAAAGAAGCACCGGCUAACUACGUG